rnacentral:rRNA from 1 species
AACGAACGCUGGCGGCAUGCCUAACACAUGCAAGUCGAACGAGACCUUCGGGUCUAUUGGCGCACGGGUGCGUAACGCGUGGUAACCUUCCCUUAUGUUCGGAAUAACUCCCCGAAAGGGGUGCUAAUACCUGUUAAUUUCUUCUGUCCAAAGAUUUAUCGCCUUUGGAUGGUCCCGCGUUGGAUUAGCUAGUUUGUAUGGUAAAAGCCUACCAAGGCCACGAUCCAUAGCUGGUAUGAGAGGAUGAUCAGCCACACUGGGACUGAGACACGGCCCAGAAUACUACGGGAGGCAGCAGUGGGGAAUAUUGGAAAAUGGGCGAAAGCAUGAUCCAGCAAUGCCGCGUGAGUGAUGAAGGCCUUAGGGUUGUAAAGCUCUUUUACACGGGAUGAUAAUGACAGUACCGGGAGAAUAAGCACCGGCUAACUACGUG